rnacentral:rRNA from 1 species
UACGUAGGGGGCAAGCGUUGUCCGGAUUUACUGGGCGUAAAGAGCGCGCAGGCGGUCGUUCAAGUCGCGUGUGAAAGCCCCUGGCUCAACUGGGGAGGGUCACGCGAUACUGUUCGACUUGAAGGCAGGAGAGGGAAGUGGAAUUCCCGGUGUAGUGGUGAAAUGCGUAGAUAUCGGGAGGAACACCAGUGGCGAAGGCGACUUCCUGGCCUGUUCCUGACGCUGAGGCGCGAAAGCUAGGGUAGCAAACGGG